rnacentral:rRNA from 1 species
GACGUAGGAGGCGAGCGUUAUCCGGAUUCACUGGGCGUAAAGCGCAUGUAGGCGGUUUGAUCAGUCCGCUGUUAAAGCCCCCGGCUCAACUGGGGGAGGUCAGUGGAGACUCUUAGACUUGAGGGCAACAGAGGCACGUGGAACUCCCGGUGUAGCGGUGGAAUGCGUAGAGAUCGGGAAGAACACCAGUGGCGAAGGCGACGUGCUGGGUUGCGACUGACGCUGAGAUGCGAAAGUGUGGGGAGCAAACGGG